CCAAGGCCAUUGAUUUGGUACCCCGCCCUGAAGAGGGUUAUUCGCCCCCCAUUGGGGAUUGAAGCCCCGGCCCCAAAUUUCUUACGGGAGGCAACCAGUAGGGAAUUUUUCCCCAAUGGGCGAAAACCCUGAUGGAGCAAUGCCGCGUGAGUGAAGAAGGUUUUCGGAUCGUAAAACUCUGUUGUUGAAGAAGAACAUGCGUGAGAGUAACUGUUCACGUACUGACGGUAUUCAACCAGAAAGCCACGGCUAACUACGUGCCAGCAGCCGCGGUAAUACGUAGGUGGCAAGCGUUGUCCGGAUUUAUUGGGCGUAAAGAGAAUGUAGGCGGUUUAUUAAGUUUGAAGUGAAAGCCCUCGGCUCAACCGAGGAAGUGCUUCGAAAACUGGUAAACUUGAGUGCAGAAGAGGAAAGUGGAACUCCAUGUGUAGCGGUGGAAUGCGUAGAUAUAUGGAAGAACACCAGUGGCGAAGGCGGCUUUCUGGUCUGUAACUGACGCUGAGAUUCGAAAGCAUGGGUAGCAAACAGGAUUAGAUACCCUGGUAGUCCAUGCCGUAAACGAUGAGUGCUAAGUGUUGGAGGGUUUCCGCCCUUCAGUGCUGCAGCUAACGCAUUAAGCACUCCGCCUGGGGAGUACGAUCGCAAGAUUGAAACUCAAAGGAAUUGACGGGGGCCCGCACAAGCGGUGGAGCAUGUGGUUUAAUUCGAAGCAACGCGAAGAACCUUACCAGGUCUUGACAUACCAUGACAAACUAAGAGAUUAGUCUUUCCCUUCGGGGACAUGGAUACAGGUGGUGCAUGGUUGUCGUCAGCUCGUGUCGUGAGAUGUUGGGUUAAGUCCCGCAACGAGCGCAACCCUUAUUAUCAGUUGCCAGCAUUCAGUUGGGCACUCUGGUGAGACUGCCGGUGACAAACCGGAGGAAGGUGGGGACGACGUCAAAUCAUCAUGCCCCUUAUGACCUGGGCUACACACGUGCUACAAUGGUCGGUACAACGUGUUGCGAACUCGCGAGGGCAAGCAAAUCACUUAAAACCGAUCUCAGUUCGGAUUGCAGGCUGCAACUCGCCUGCAUGAAGCUGGAAUCGCUAGUAAUCGCGGAUCAGCAUGCCGCGGUGAAUACGUUCCCGGGCCUUGUACACACCGCCCGUCACACCAUGAGAGUUUGUAACACCCAAAGUCGGUGGGGUAACCCUUCGGGGAACUAGCCGCCUAAGGGACAAAAGUUUUGG
rnacentral:rRNA from 2 species